UACGUAGGGGGCAAGCGUUGUCCGGAUUUAUUGGGCGUAAAGAGCGUGUAGGCGGCCUGAAAGGUCAGCUGUGAAAGCCCGGGGCUUAACCCCGGGUCGGCAGUGGAUACGGGCAGGCUAGAGGUAGGUAGGGGAGAAUGGAAUUCCCGGUGUAGCGGUGAAAUGCGCAGAUAUCGGGAGGAACACCGGUGGCGAAGGCGGUUCUCUGGGCCUUACCUGACGCUGAGGAGCGAAAGCGUGGGGAGCGAACAGG
rnacentral:rRNA from 1 species